GACGAACGCUGGCGGCGCGCUUAGCACAUGCAAGUCGAACGGUGAAGUAGAGCUUGCUCUAUGGAUCAGUGGCGAACGGGUGAGUAACACGUGGGCAACCUGCCCCAGACUCUGGGAUAACUCCUCGAAAGAGGGGCUAAUACCGGAUAUUUGCAUUGCAAGACAUCUUGUGAUGCAGAAAGAAUUUCGGUCUGGGAUGGGCCCGCGGCCUAUCAGCUUGUUGGUGAGGUAACGGCUCACCAAGGCGACGACGGGUAGCCGGCCUGAGAGGGCGACCGGCCACACUGGGACUGAGACACGGCCCAGACUCCUACGGGAGGCAGCAGUGGGGAAUAUUGGGCAAUGGGCGCAAGCCUGACCCAGCAACGCCGCGUGAGGGAUGAAGGUCCUCGGAUUGUAAACCUCUUUCAGCAGGGACGAAGCGAAAGUGACGGUACCUGCAGAAGAAGCACCGGCUAACUACGUGCCAGCCGCCGCGGUAA
rnacentral:rRNA from 1 species